GGAGAGGGGAGGGCAGGGAUUACGCUUACCCUCUGGGCUUGCUGGAGGGGUGCAUGUGGCCCCACUGCUGGGGAGCCCCGUAUGGUGAGGUUGGGGUAUUUACCAGGCCUCAGUCUCCGGGGAGGGCCUUCCUGCCCCAGGGUGGGGACUUAGCCCGUCACCAGGACACUCAGGAAGGACAGGGUGUCCGGAGCCGUCGCCAGGAUCUUGCACCUGAGGCCAUGACGGAGCACAGCAGGGCCUCGGGUAGGGACCAUGUCCGAUGGUGGUGUCUGAUGUGGCGUCCGAAGGUGGAGACCCACACGGGGAGGGUGCAAACGAGGAUCCUUUGCUUUCUGGCUCUGUGUUUAGAUGGUUGAGUCUGGGAGGGUCCCCCAUUUCCAGAGUCUGGUUGUUUCCAUGGUUUGUUUGCCAAAGGGUGUCCACCUCGGCUACUUCCUAGAAUUGUGGUGAGGCCCCUUGCGCUGCCUGUGGGAACAAAACUUCCAAAGACCCUGUAUUAGCCCUCGCAGCGCCCCCGGCAUUGUUUACACCUAAGUCUGUGUAUUCCACAGACCCUGUAUUUACCCUCUGCAGUGCCCCCGGCAUUGUUUACACCUAUGUCUAUUGUAUUCUGCUCUUUUUAAAGAUGUGGGUUGUGACCCACUGUUGGUCUGAUGAACUAAAAUCUACUUCUAAAGCUGAGACCCUUAACCUGGGGCUCGCGGAUUUCAGUGUAACUGGUGUCUUUUGUAUUUGUGUGGAGGCUUUUCUGGGGAGGGAUCCACAGGCUUUGCUGGACCCAGCAAAGUUAGGCAGGAGCCUGCACAGGAUCCGCGGCU
rnacentral:lncRNA from 1 species